rnacentral:tRNA from 1 species
ACCUAAAUAGCUUAUAAUUUAGAGCGUGACACUGAAGAUGUUAAGGAGAUAUUUUUAUUUUUAGGUA